UACAGAGGGGGCAAGCGUUGUUCGGAAUUACUGGGCGUAAAGGGCGCGUAGGCGGCCUUCUAAGUUGAACGUGAAAUCCCCGGGCUCAACCCGGGAACUGCGUCCGAUACUGGAAGGCUUGAAUCCGGGAGAGGGAUGCGGAAUUCCAGGUGUAGCGGUGAAAUGCGUAGAUAUCUGGAGGAACACCGGUGGCGAAGGCGGCAUCCUGGACCGGCAUUGACGCUGAGGCGCGAAAGCCAGGGGAGCAAACGGG
rnacentral:rRNA from 1 species